UACGAAGGGGGCUAGCGUUGUUCGGAGUUACUGGGCGUAAAGGGCGCGUAGGCGGCGCAUCAAGUCAGGCGUGAAAGCCCUGGGCUCAACCCGGGAAUUGCGCUUGAGACUGGUGUGCUCGAGUACGGGAGAGGAUAGUGGAAUUCCCAGUGUAGAGGUGAAAUUCGUAGAUAUUGGGAAGAACACCAGUGGCGAAGGCGGCUAUCUGGACCGUAACUGACGCUGAGGCGCGAAAAGCGUGGGGGAGCAAACAGG
rnacentral:rRNA from 1 species